ensembl:lncRNA
UCCAAAUAUUUACACCUCUGGCAUUCACAGAGCACAAACAGAGACUGCUCUGGAGGGGAACACCGUACAUAAGAGAGGACCGGAGAUGGUUGUGGAAAGGGAGCUGUUCCCACUGCCCUGCACCCAGGAUGCCCAAGCAGCCGCCCGUAACCCCGUGCCAGCUCCAUUCUCCUGCACGCCUCAUUGGCCAACACAUCUCCAUGCAAUGAAAGAGACAAAGAGAGACCCACGCUGCAGGACUGGCACCCAGGCAGGGCCCGAUCCUGAUUGCACACCGCGAUCCCAAUCGGCCAUCAGCAUUCCCAGUAAAGCCGCUGCUAAAAGCGAAUUGAGCCACUUAAAUUCCGUAUUAAUUUGCAUUUUCCACGGGGUUCCUAGGAAAUUUUUUCAAUCAAGAAGCGAAUUCUGAUUGUAAUAAAAUAUUACACAAAUAUUUACAUCAGCCCUGGCUUGACUUUAAAAGGAGGGAUUUUUUCCCCUCGCGCACGCUGCCAAAGUAGUUAGCUGGCAAGCCUGCGAGAAAACAAGGGCUGCGAGUCACUUUUUCCCCUCGCAGAUCCAUCAUGGAGCAAUCAGGAGGUUUAUUUUUCCCAUGUCUCCCCUAAAUUCCAUCAUUUCCCUUCCUAAAAGAUUCCAUGUGUCUCCCGAGCGGCGGCCGCCCAGAUAAGAGCUCUUAAGCUAUCUUGUCUGCUCGUGUGCAGAGGAGGGGGAGAAGAAAGCCCCACGGUGGAGAAAACAAGGCUGCGUGAAUUGGAGGGGUUAGGAAAACACUCGUACCUACGCAGGGAAGGCACCAAGUGAUGAAUCAAUUAAAUACCUGAUGGAUUAACCUGAAGUCGGGGUGUUCUCACUGCACUUUCCAUGGCAAGCAGCUUCAAAGGACCCAAUGCGUGGUGCAGCAUCGCCGUGCCAAAGCGGCUCCGGGCAUCGGGGCUGAGCCCAGCAGGACAGAUGGACACCACAAGUGGGCAAGCACCCAAUGAGAGGCACAGGAAAGCAUCUGAGCCUGCAGUGGGGGCUGUUGUCAAGCUGACAGCUGGCUCUGUGGCCUCGAUGGCCCUUACGCUGGCAGAGGUGCAAGCUCCUAGACAUCACCAUCCCAUAAAUCGGGUUGUUCUGAGCAAGAGGAGCCAACACCUUCCCCCAGCUUUUGCUGAGUGCCCCCAGAUACACAGCAGCACCACAGGCACAGAACAUGGAUGUGGUGCUGAGGCCAUGGUCAGUGAGCAUGGUGGGGGGGUUGGGGUUUGGAGAGGUGUAUUACCACCUCAGUGACCUCCCAGAGGCAGUGAGUUUUACUGCCACAUCACCAACGCUAACAGCAUCCGAAGGAGACCCCUCCCACAGCCGUGAGCCAGGGGGAAUCACAGCACCACUCCAGCUGGAGAAGACUUUCGCUAUCGAGACCAACCCGUCCUACCGAGCCCCAGCACCAACCACGUCCCUCAGUGCCACAUCCACGUGUCUCUCAGAUACCCCCGAGGAUGAGGACUCCACAAACAACCUGAGCAUUCCCAGUGGAUGAAAUAGCCACUGCUCAAUCCUAAUAGCACAGCUCCCUACUGCCGGGCAGAGCCCAUGGGAAGGCUCAGAGCCCUCGUGUUCCUUAGGGGAGAGGCCAGGAAAGCAAAGGAGGACCCCAGAGCAACCCAGCAUGAG